AUGAUUGAGACAACAAUAAGUGUUCUAGUAGAUGAUUGAGGCAAAACUAUUUCAUUGAUUGGUUUUUUGUUCGAAUCCUGCUUAAUGUAGUGCAUUAGAAGUUAAAUGCAUAUAAAGGAGGACAACAUAGUAUGUGCACAUGCAACAUUAACCAUGAAGACAUAUAAUUCUGACUACGAACCGUCUUUGCUCGUACACAAAAAAUGCUGCAUGUUUAUCGUGUCAGAAAAUACGAC
rnacentral:lncRNA from 1 species